UACAGAGGUCCCGAGCGUUGUUCGGAUUCACUGGGCGUAAAGGGUGCGUAGGUGGCUUGGUAAGUUUGAUGUGAAAGCUCAGGCUCAACCCUGAAAUGGCAUUGAAUACUACUGAGCUGGAGGUUUGGAGGGGGACUGGAAUUCUCGGUGUAGCAGUGAAAUGCGUAGAUAUCGAGAGGAACACCAGUGGCGAAGGCGAGUCCCUGGACAACACCUGACACUGAGGCACGAAAGCUAGGGGAGCAAACAGG
rnacentral:rRNA from 1 species